UACGGAGGGGGCUAGCGUUGUUCGGAAUUACUGGGCGUAAAGCGCACGUAGGCGGCUUUGUAAGUUAGAGGUGAAAGCCCGGGGCUCAACUCCGGAAUUGCCUUUAAGACUGCAUCGCUAGAAUUGUGGAGAGGUAAGUGGAAUUCCGAGUGUAGAGGUGAAAUUCGUAGAUAUUCGGAAGAACACCAGUGGCGAAGGCGGCUAACUGGUCCGAUACUGACGCUGAGGUGCGAAAGCGUGGGGAGCAAACAGG
rnacentral:rRNA from 1 species